GCCGGGGUGGCGGAAUUGGUAGACGCAAGGGACUUAAAAUCCCUUGGGACUAUGUCCCGUGUGGGUUCGAUUCCCACCCUCGGCA
rnacentral:tRNA from 1 species